GCGAUGAGCUGAAUUGUGUAAGCCGACAGACACUCCUUUAUGGAAAUGCACGAUGUGGCGUGCAGUCAGUCGCCUCAAUACGCAGAAAAGACGCCUUUUGGGCGUCUUU
rnacentral:sRNA from 1 species